ACUCGUCUGAGCGAGUAUAAACCACUUUAGGCUCAGAGCGUCCCCACUUCGGUGGGGGGUAGCA
rnacentral:ribozyme from 2 species